CGUAGCGGCGUCGGUGGCUAGCGUUUCUCAGCGUGAGGCAGGACUUGUUCCUCAGUCUUACAGCGACUGACAAGUGGCACCCGAACAGGGACCUGAGUACGUGGGCUGUUGAGAGGGACCCCGGAAAUAUUUCGCGCACAGACAUAUACAGGGGACUCUAAGGAUCCUCGUUGGAUACCUGAGCGCCUCGUGAGAUUCUAUGGAUCCGGACCAGAUGGUGAAUUCCCUCCCCUGCAAUAUGGAUCCGGACCGGAUGGUGAACUCUCUCCCCCGCCAUAUGAAGAGAAUGCGGCUCAACGACACUCCCAAUCCUCCCGAGAAACCAGCUCUCCAAGCUCGUC